UACAGAGGGGGCAAGCGUUGUUCGGAAUUACUGGGCGUAAAGGGCGCGUAGGCGGCCUGCUAAGUCGAACGUGAAAUCCCUGGGCUCAACCCAGGAACUGCGUCCGAUACUGGUUGGCUUGAAUCCGGGAGAGGGAUGUGGAAUUCCAGGUGUAGCGGUGAAAUGCGUAGAUAUCUGGAGGAACACCGGUGGCGAAGGCGGGUCUCUGGGCAUCUCCUGACGCUGAGGCGCGAAAGCGUGGGGAGCAAACGGG
rnacentral:rRNA from 1 species